rnacentral:rRNA from 1 species
UACGUAGGCAGCGAGCGUUGUUCGGAAUUACUGGGCGUAAAGAGUGUGUAGGCGGUGCUCUAAGUUCGGUGUGAAAUCUCCUGCUUAACUGGGAGGGUGCGCCGGAAACUGGAGUGCUUGAGCGUGGGAGAGGAAAGCGGAAUUCCUGGUGUAGCGGUGAAAUGCGUAGAUAUCAGGAGGAACACCUGUGGUGUAGACGGCUUUCUGGACCGUAGCUGACGCUGAGACACGAAAGCGUGGGUAGCAAACAGG